GGGAGCGGAGCGCGGGCGCGGAGCCGCGGGGGCGCGAGGGGGCCGCGGUCCCUGCCGAAGUUGGGCUGUGAGCUGGCGAGGGCCCCGCGCCGGAGUCGCAGGGUUCCAGGAUGUGCACAGUUCCUGGGAUGGUCUUCUGGAUGUGAGGCAGGCACGGGUGUUGUGGUCAGUAUCCUCUGCCAUCAGGACCGGAGCCUCCAGGACCAGCCUCUUGAGGGGCACCUCUGGGAGCUUUCUUAAGGAAGAUAGUGACAGUUUUGACUUUUCUGUGCAUUUCUGCCCCUUCAGCAAGGCCACUAAGUGAGUGAGAACACCAAAGACCAUUUGUGGUGCCAACAACAUUCCACUUCCAGAGGUGGGAGCACCUGGCCGAUUUCCUGGCCUACCUUCUCUGCUGGCUGCUUGCAUGUCCACGGUGGGAAUCUACUGGCCAGCCGCUGGUCAUAGAGUGGGCCCAGAGCAGCCUCCAGACCUGCUGGUGCCAUGAUGCCUGCGGCAUGCCCUGUGCCCUCUCUGGGCAGUGGGGCUUGAUGGCUGGAGCUGGGCCUGCAGCUGUCCGGCCUGAGGGACUGCCAUGGACUUGGACUCCCUUUGGAAGAGCCCUGUCCCAAUGGUCACUGUGGUGUCACACCCAGCAGACUCAGCGGGGCCAGGUUCUGCAGGUGACAGGGAAGCUGUAGUGCCCUUGGGGUUGAGAAUCAGUGGAGCUGACUUACUGUGGGUGACCCUCAGUGAACCCCGGUAUUCUCAGCCAGCCUGAGGGCACUUCCCGCUGGGGGCGCAAAGGAACGCUGAGGUCAGCAGGGGCUCCAGCGCCACCUGCCAACACCGCCUGGCCUCAAGGCAACAGUGACCAGUGACAAGGGUCCUCACACAAAGCAGGGUCCUGCCUCAGCGACCUGGGGUGCUGGCCUAGCCUGGCUUGGUCCUGCCCUGGCAUGAACUGGACAUUUGCUUUUCCUCACCUCAGCACAGCUCACAUCGUUUUCAAUGUACUCUUUAAAACUCAAAAGUAAACUUUUCAGCCACGCA